rnacentral:lncRNA from 1 species
CACAGAGGGGGGAGGGGGGAUAGAGGUGCAGAGAGAGAGAGGUACAGAAAGAGAGAGAGAGGCACAACGUUGUGCUGGAACACAAGAGAAAGUCGACAAUCAACAGUCAACUUCGAAUCAGCAAAGCAUGUGAGAAUAUCAGAACAUUUCCCACAUCAGAGGCAGAUCACCAUGACUGAAGUGGUAGCAGGGAAGACGUGGCAACCGCUGAAAUAACAAUAAAACCUCAUAUCAUAUCCUUACUGUACAACUCUUACAGAUUAGUCAGAACAAGAAUACCUCCUCAAACUAAAAAUCUGAAGUAAUCAGUCACCAAUUUCACAGGCGCUGCACAUGAGCUAAUCAAAUCACUCAAUCUUAUUUAUCCAUCAUCUUUGAUGUAUCUACACUUCAUCCACCCUCCCACCCUUUUGGCAGGAGGAGGGGGAGUCUGGAAACUGGACAUCCUGUCUUUAGUGGAGUCUGUCUUGACCGUGUAAGAUACACUGAGUUUCUAUUACCUUGUGGAUUUCUGAAGAAAUUGUUGCUGAAGGAAUUCAAUUCCGAGAAACAGCACAACACCACACACCCAUCACACCACAGGAGAUGGUGGCACCUUAAUCGGGGAGAAAGGGGUCGUGGUAAUGACUGGAGCAGGUUCAGGGGAAUGGUAUGAAAUACAUCAAACACAUGGUUUCCAGGUGUUUAAUGCCAUUCCAUUUGCUCCAUUCCGCACAUUAUUAUUAGCAGUCACGAAUGUUUGAUCUUGAACAGAACAUGACACGCAGAAAUCGUAAUGUUCAACCUGCGAGGACAGAUACAGAAACCGGGAAAAUUCCGAGCAACACAGCUCAAACAAAUGGAUUGGAGAGUUAUAUUUGUCUGCGCAGUAGCAUGGCAUGUUUCACUGGUGUCACAAUCUUAUGCCACAGGUGGUGUGAAUACAUCUCUCUCUACAGCUCAGAGCAACUUGUCUCUGUGUUUCACCUGCAACGGUGAGAGAUGUCAAGAUGUGAAAAAGAUUUUCAACUCAAUGAGAGAUGACAAAAUUUGGACGCAAAGUACUGCAACGUCUGCCCUUCUUGGCUGUUCCCUGACCUCGUCUCCCUUUGCUGGGAAGUGUGUGCCAUGUGUUGAGGACCGCAAGGUCUACAUUGUUUGCCUUGACAUGCCCAAGGAUCUCAAACUGGACCUGGAGGAUGGUGAUGGCAACUCAUUUUCCUACACUGAAGCUAGUGGAGUCAGAGGUCUUGCUGGGCAUGGUGGAGCAAUGAUCAGCAUUGGCAUGUUAGCAGCUGCCGUCAUCUUUGUCGCUUACUACAGAAGCCAGACCAAAUCAAGUAUUGUCUAGUGUCAACUUCAGAAGUCCACUCAGAGGAACACCAGACCCAUUUAAAGUUAUUAAAGACUGUCACGUCUACUGCUCCCCCUCUCCGGCGCACAGAGGGAGGGGGGCAGAACAUGAGACAGAGCUGCAUUUCAUGACAAAAUGUGAAAAAUAUAAAACAAUUAGAGAGUGUAAUUUCCCCAUUUUGAAACCCUUAUUCAAGGUUUCAAAGACCUCUCUGGUGAGAGUAGGCUACCCUUCCUGUUGGGGGAAGACGCAGAGAGCUGGGGGUUGGCAGCGCACUACAUUGCUGCCUGCCAUAAGAUGAGGGACAGUGUCUGACAGACCAAUCAACCUGCACAUAAGCUUUGGCAAUAUGUACAUUGUUACGUUAUGCCAAUAAAGUGAAUUGAAUUGACACACCCACACACACACACACACACACACACACACACACACACACACACACACACACACACACACACACACACACACACACACACACACACACACACACACAGAGAGAGAGAGGGGGAGGGAGAGAGAGCACAGGGGGGGGGGGGAGAGAGGCACAGUUAGGGAGAGAGGCACAGAGGGGGGAGAGAGAGAGCACAGAGGGGGAGGGGAGAGAGAGGGACAGAGGGGGGAUAGAGGUGCAGAGAGAGAGGUACAGAAAGAGAUAAUGCUGAACCUGAGUGGCUUCUGCCUUAGAACAGGACAGGUGAGGCUGUGUUGGUUAAGGAAUGUAUCUGUUAUUUAGCAGGUCACUGGGGACACAGAGAGGGAAUGCAAAGACAGGGAGAACAGCAAGUCGUACCUACUUACUAGAGCAAAGGCCAUUUGGAAGCAUGGUUUGAUCAGGAGGCUCACUUGAAGACAGUGGAUUACAAUAUCCUACUGGUCCUCAGCCACCUCCUUUAUAACAUCCAAAAUGUCAUCUUUAGAUUGAUUUGAUUAGGCACAAUACAAGCCGGGAUUUCUGGCUGCUCUAUUAGCAGGGCUAUUUCUCCAUGUUGUGGAUGUCUAUUCAUAUGUUUGUAUGUAUGCUGUCACUGUUUUAUUAUUAUUUGGAAAACCCCUACCCUGCCCCCCUUCCUCCUGAGAAGUGAUCAGCAGUCAUACCACUCUGAGCCCACCCACCACCUGAUCAUCCUGUCCUCUACCGUUACACCCCGCUGGAAACAGGAAACUACUGUGGAAAUGUGUAUAUUUGCAGAGCAAGUCGAUCAUAUCAGAUUGUUUAAUUAAAUAGAAUGUUCUGGAUCCCCCUCUCUGACACCAGCCUGAAACAUGUGACCUCACAGUAUACCUACAGUCUGAGCCAAAUGCUUAAGAACUAUUAGAGAAGAAUAAACACACUUCACAAUCACCACUAUAAUCUAAAACAUUAGGCUCACAACUUUCACAUUGCCAGAGACCUUAGAACACAAUAAGCAGACAGCUGUGGAUAUCAGAACAAAUAAACAUGGUAAUAUCCUGAAUGUGUAGCUUAUAGAGAGACCGGAAGUAUGGUGUAGAGAGACACAGCUCCAGGACUACACCCAGAAAACCCCUACAGUUUCCCAAUGAUGGCCAAAGGUUAAGUUGCUGCUGUGUGUGUGAGAGAGAGAGAAAGUGAGUUCUGUCUGAGGAGAACAGGGCAGGUGAGGCUACAGAAAUGUGCCUGUUAUUCAGCUGACUGCUCUUCCCCUUUUCGACUGAGUCAGUCUAGCUUGGACAAAACAUUUCUCAGAAACAGAUAGUAUAUGUGGUUUCCAUGGACACAGAGAUGUUACAGCUCGUUGAAAAAAGGAAACGUCACUAAACUGUUUAGUUAAAUAGGAGGUUCUAGGUCCCUCUAGCACCAGUCUGAAACAUGAGACCUCACAGUACCUACUGCUCAUUGCAGUGCAAUAAGUGGGCUGCUCUACUUGCCCAUUGUUGGGUUCUAGCUUGAAAUACACUUAUUCACAUUACCAUACUAGACCUUAUUGGUGCUUUACAUGUAUAAGGAAUGUAUAUGUUAGGGUCAAUGGAGGGUGGAUAAGAACUAGGUGUAUGGAAAGUUACUGGCUGACACAAUGGAGUGCAGAAAGUUUACAUUCUGUCAAAACAUGCUAUUGUUAAAUCUCAUGGCUCGUAAAGAGGGAGGCACAGGGCAACAGUCUUGUUUCAGUCACUGAUAAGGUAGGACAGUCGUAGAGUAGUGAGGAGCGAGGAAUUCGGACCGAGGUCAGAUCAGAUGAAGUGAGAGGAACAGUCCUAUUACACACACACACACUUCGACUCCCACAAAUGUUCUAGCAUCAGGCAGGGCCAUGACUACACCAGUGAGAGGAACCAAUUAAGUAGAAACAGAGAUGUAUUGGCUGUCUAGAUGUGCAAGGAGUUGAC